GAUAGCAAAGGGACGAAAGAUACCAGAGGGACAGUCAAACUCAUAAAUCGAAAAUAAACUGACAACGCCAUGGCUAAAAAUGAGUGUGACUGUCCCUCUAGUAUCUUUCGUCUCUCUUUUAUCACU
rnacentral:sRNA from 1 species